GGAUGUGAGGGUGAUCAGGCUGCGACAUCUGUCACCUCAUUGAUUGCCAGGGUUGAUUCGGCUGAUCUGGCUGGCUAGGCAGGUGUCCCCUUCCUCCCUCAUCUCUCCACGUGCGUCCCUCCCGAAGCUGCGCGCUCAACCUUCCCCGCUAGAGGAGGACCGGUCUUCGGUCAAGGGUAUAUGAGUAGCUGCGCUCCCCUGCUAGAACCUCCAAACAAGCUCUCAAACAGUUGCUUGCAAGGCUGUAUUUCCAACUCCCUGCUGGCUACUGCCACUGGCUGCCCUACAGAUACGUCAAAGUCGAGGAUGCAUGUAAAAGU
rnacentral:snRNA from 1 species